AGCCACUAGCAUUUAUUUGUGGUUUAACCUGCCCAAUGUACAAAAAUUUCCAAUGAAUGGCCGCGGUACUUUGACCGUGCUAAGGUAGCGUAAUUAGUUGGCUUUUAAAUGGAGUCAGGAAUGAAUGGGAGAACCGGGUUUAGCUGUCUCUCGGCUAAUAUAUUGAAUUUACUGUUCAAGUGAAAAAGCUUGCUAACGGAAAAGGGACGAGAAGACCCUUAGAAUUUUAUUUAAUUAGAAGGAUCAGAGUGAUUACUCCUUAUAAUUUUGUUGGGGCGACAGAGAAAUACCUUUGAACUUUCUUUAUUUAAACUAGCCGAUUAUAUUAAGUGAGAAUAAAUUACCUGAGGGAUAACAGCAUAAUUCUUCAAAAGAGUUUGUGACCUCGAUGUUGGACUAGGAAACUAUUAGAUUAGCCAUUUACUGUGUUAGUUCUGUUCGAACUGUAAUUCCU
rnacentral:rRNA from 1 species